UCACUGACAUCAAAUCCAUGUUACAGCCAGCCCAACCAUUUUCUGGCCCACAGUCCCUUUCCCUCCUGGGCUAUUCAGCACAGCUGGAACUCCUUCCCACCCGCCAACAGCAUCAGCUGCAGCUUCUUAUCAGCUCUGGGUGUGAUCCAGGCUGGAAUCAAGUGAGAGGUUCCUGCUGAUGCUGAUGGAGGAAGUGUUUGGAGCAGGCAGGCCUCAUGCUGCAGCUCUCAGUGUGGAGCAGCAGGUGAUCUGUGCAGCAAAGGGAAUGUGGGACCUGUCCAGAGCCCCCCUGUGUGCCAGCCGGCUGCAGUCACAUGACCAGUGGUCUAAGCACUGCAACCCCCAGAUGCUCCUCUCAUACAGCAGAAGCAGACCCACAGCGAGCACAACACAGGUCACGUCUCCAAUGCAAGACGCUUCUGCGCAUCAACCUGUUUGUUCCCGUGGCAAUGAUCUCCCCUUGCAAUGCCUUUGGCAAUGUGUCCUUACCUCUGGAAAACUGGCCAUGUUCACUACAAUGAGCUGCGGGGACUUCAGGGAGAUCUG